rnacentral:rRNA from 1 species
ACUAAUAGUGUAAUAAAAUUUUUUGGUUUGGAUUAGUUGAUAAAAAAUGUUAAUAAUGUUAUUUUUUGGUGAAAUGAAAAUAAUAUAUAUAUAUAUUAAUUAUAAUGAAGUCUAUAAAUUGAUUUUAAAACUAGGAUUAGAUACCCUAUUAUAAAAACUUAAGUUUAAUUCCCUAUGAUUAAUAGUUAUUUUCUUUAAAGUAAAAAAAAUUUGGCGGUAUUUUAAUCUAUUUAGAGGAACCUGUCCCAUAAUUGAUAAUCCACGUUUUUAAAAACUUAAUUUUUAAAUUUAUAUAUCGUUGUUUAAAAUAUUCUAUAAGGUUAUAUUUUACAAAUUCUUUAUUUAGAAAUUAGUUCAGAUCAAGGUGUAGUUAAUAGUUAAGAGGAGGUGGGUUACAAUAGUAUAAACUGAGAAAGCUAUUUUUUAAUAUUAGCUGAAUAUGGAUUUAAAAGUAAAUUUUAAUAAAUUUUAAUUUUGACUAAGCUCUAAAAU